AACGAACGUUAGCGGCGCGCCUAACACAUGCAAGUCGCGCGAGAAAGGGCUUCGGCCCCAGUAAAGCGGCGCACGGGUGAGUAACACGUAGGUCAUCUUCCCCUGAGUGGUGGAUAACUCUCCGAAAGGAGAGCUAAUACAGCAUAAGACCACGACCUCGCCGAGGUUGUGGCCAAAGCAGACCUCUUCAUGAAAGUUUGCGCUUAGGGAUGAGCCUGCGGCCCANCAGCUAGUUGGUAGGGUAAUGGCCUACCAAGGCUAAGACGGGUAGCUGGUCUGAGAGGAUGAACAGCCACACUGGAACUGAGACACGGUCCAGACUCCUACGGGAGGCAGCAGUGGGGAAUCUUGCGCAAUGGGCGAAAGCCUGACGCAGCGACGCCGCGUGAGCGAUGAAGGCC
rnacentral:rRNA from 1 species